AUUGAACGCUGGCGGCAUGCCUUACACAUGCAAGUCGAACGGUAACAGGUCUUCGGAUGCUGACGAGUGGCGAACGGGUGAGUAAUACAUCGGAACGUGCCCGAUCGUGGGGGAUAACGGAGCGAAAGCUUUGCUAAUACCGCAUACGAUCUACGGAUGAAAGCAGGGGACCGCAAGGCCUUGCGCGGACGGUGCGGCCGAUGGCAGAUUAGGUAGUUGGUGGGAUAAAAGCUUACCAAGCCGACGAUCUGUAGCUGGUCUGAGAGGACGACCAGCCACACUGGGACUGAGACACGGCCCAGACUCCUACGGGAGGCAGCAGUGGGGAAUUUUGGACAAUGGGCGAAAGCCUGAUCCAGCCAUGCCGCGUGCAGGAUGAAGGCCUUCGGGUUGUAAACUGCUUUUGUCCGGAACGAAAAGACUCUUUCUAAUAAAGAGGGUCCAUGACGGUACCGUAAGAAUAAGCACCGGCUAACUACGUG
rnacentral:rRNA from 1 species